GGAUUCAGUCAAGUGAAAUCAGCUCAUGUGGCCCCUGCCUAUCUGAUCGAGAUUUAGUAGGCAAUUGACAAAAGGCCUUGGAAGCAGGAGCAGUGGAACAAGUGACUGGACCUGACACCCCCUCCCCCAAGCCUCAGACCUGGUGACUUGAUAAGUCUGUUUCCAGGGACGCACUUGUCUCUUGAGGUUUCUUCUCUCCCACCUUCUUUCCAGAGAGGCCCAAGAAAGUCAAGGGACAGGGGCAGUUGGGUGGCACAGUGGGAUAGAGCACCAGGCCUGGAGUCUGCAGGACCUCCAUUCAAAUUUGCCUUUAAACACUUCCUCACUGAAUGGCCCUGGGCAAGUCACUUAACCUUCUUUCCCACUUUUCAGUCUUAGAACUGAUUUCUAAGACAGAAAAAAAAAAGAAAGUCAAGGGGAAGACGUACCUGGAGCUGGAUGGUGUAAGGGGGGAAGGACUUGGAGGAUGGGGCUUUCACUGAGCAUACUCAGUCUCCUUCCUCUCUGUUCUCCAUCAGCCAAUGGCCUUGACUUAACCUCCCUUCCCUCCCUCCUUCCUGUACCCUGUUCCCUCCCUAAUCUCAUGAAAGAGAAUCUGGAUGCAGGAUUCCUUGAAACAGAAAAAAGAAGACAAGGAGAAUGCUUUCUGGAAGGUGGAACUGCUCAGAAGUCAGGCCUCCUAGGGAAAGGCUCCUCACCCGUGGUGGAAGUUUUCACAUCCUGGCUCCCUCCUAAGUUUGAAGUGGUGGGACAUCAAGGUCUAUAUGUCCUCGCCCUCGGUGGAACUGCUGACCUGUGUCUCAGAAGAGCCACCGUGAGAAAGAGGACAGUUAGCCCGCUGGACAUCUCCCUCCCAUUUCAACGCUACCGACUGAUGGAGAAAGACUGAAAGAAUAAAAAAGGUCAGAUGAACA
rnacentral:lncRNA from 1 species